UACAGAAGGUCUCGAAGCGUUGUUCGGAUUCAUUGGGCGUUGAAAGGGUGUGUAGGUGGCGCCGUUAAGUCGGGUGUGAAAUUUCGGAAGCUUAACUCCGAAACUGCAUUCGAUACUGCGGUGCUUGAGGACUGGAGAGGAGACUGGAAUUCAUGGUGUAGCAGUGAAAUGCGUAGAGAUCAUGAGGAAGACCAGUGGCGAAGGCGGGUCUCUGGACAGUUCCUGACACUGAGACACGAAGGCCAGGGGAGCAAACGGG
rnacentral:rRNA from 1 species